CGUAUUUUAUUUAUAUUUUAUAUUGUGUAUUUAAUUAUAAUUAUUAAUUUUUUAAAUAUAACCCAACUCACCCCCCUCUUGUGUUAGUCAUCUGGGCAAUACGCUUCUUAGUCACCAAACCCUAAAUUCUCUCACCCCCCUUUCCUCACAUCUUGUUCAGAUUCAUCACUCCUAGUGUGGGUCUCAAGUGGAUGACAAAUGGCACUAAGGGAUAGGUUAGGCAUGUUCCCUAAGUCCUCUAGGGUUUCUAAACCCUAAAUCCUUAUUAAGGCUGACUUUGCAUGGGCCUUGUGGGCCUCCCUUGUGAGCUUAGAUGCCUAGUGCAUCAAGUCAAAAUUUCUAAGUGGGUUUCACCACCUACAACCAUGCAUAAUCCAAUAAUAAACUUGCCCAAGGGCUUAGCUAGGUCUAGAUCAUCACAUCCAGUUGUGGUUUACAGCAAGUCAAGGGCUGAGACGUGCGGAAUGCUUGUUGUUUUGUUAGUCAAGGGAUGAAAUAUUGUGGGGGAAAUGAGAGAUUAUAAUAGUGAGGAUUUCAGCGUGUGAGUCUGCUAAUUGCUGAAACUUUGGGACUAAGAAAUCAACUGAGGGCUGAAACACUUCAGACCAAGAAAUUAGCUAAAGGCUGUUACGAAUUAGGAAACCAUUCAUGGUAGGAAAUCAUAGUGGGGAAGAAAGAUGUGCAUGUGCUUACACUACGUGGGUUGGGUAUUGUAUUUGGGCUUAUAAUUAAUUUCUUGGGCCUCAUGCCGAUUAAAAAUAAGCUCCAUAAAUAUUAACUGGGCUUUAGCCCAAGUAUUGAAUCUAAUAAAAAUUCUCUAAUCUACCAUAAUAAUUUUGGGCCCAUUGUUAUCCAAAAAUUGCAAUCGGGCUUUCCUAUAUGGCUCAUAAAUAUAAUUUAGGCCCAAUAAGAUUGUCUUUAGAAUAUGGGGCCAAGUGGUUACACAACUACCUCUUUAUAGUCCAUAUCGAGAGGUAAGAUGUGUGGCUAGUUGAAAAACUGUGCUGCUAUUAUGGUCCUUGUUUCAAUCAGAAGGUUGAGGUUUGUUGAACGUUAAGGUUAGGGUGGAACUUGGUAAUUUGGGUUGGAUUUGAAAAUCGGGUUUAUGGUGGAAUUCUAGUGUUUGGCCAUUUAGAGUUUGAUUUGUGGUUUUGGGUGUAUUAAUGGUUUGGUAUUGUCAUAGCUUGGUUAUGGCAAUAUUUCAAUGAGAUUUGGAUGGAAUAUGGUUGUUGACUGGAAAUAGAAGUAAGUGGGUGAUGGUGAUGUAUUAAUGAAAUCAAUUGGAGUACUUGUGUGUUGAUGGGCAUAAAAACAUGUUUGGUUGGUUGGAUUAUUAUGUCUCGAGAUAAUAAAUGAUAGAGGGUUUGCUUUGAAUAUGGAUGCAAUUUUUCAAAAUAUUUGAAAUUGGAGUCUUUGGUGUAAACAUAUUUGGUAGGAUGUGGUUAGAUGUGUUCUAAAUGGGUCAGUUUGUUAAGUAGCAAGUGCUUAUGGGAUAUUUGAAUCAACAUAUUCAUAAUUGGAGUAGUUUUGGCUAGUUAUAAGCGAAGUUCAUGAAGUUAUUUUGUUGGUUGUAGUUGACUAGUAACCAGGUUAGAAGAAAUGAAACCACGGAGUUGUUGCCAUGUGGUUGCUUAGUUGUGUCGUUUUAUUUUUAGGUGUGCCAGUUUAAUUCUAUUAAUUUAUAAUCGGUAUUAAUUAUGUUUAGCUAGCGAUUGAUAAUUUGCUUGGCAGUGUUGUGAGGAAAUUCAGAAAAUUUGAAAAGUUCAAGUAAGCGGUGCUCCUUAGAAUUUGCCUAGACAAGUUGAGGUUGAUUUAUGAAAAAAAUACAUAUUUUGCUAUGUAAAACUUGAAAGCUUCGAUCAUUUUUCUACAUAACUCACUAUAUAUAGAUAAGGAAAGAAAGAUAUUUUUGUCAUGAUUGAUAUAGACAUGAGCAUUUUUGGUACUCUACUUCUUAAUUGUAUAAAAUGAGCGAGUAUGAAAUCUAAAAGUUUUAUACAUGGUGAUGCGAAUAUUAUCUGUAUCUAUUGUGCUUUGUUAAGAAAUCAUAUUGCAUAUGAAAACUUUGAGGAAUAAGAUUCUAUUUUGCUCUGAUUUAUGGCCCUGCCAUGGGAUAUAAUAAUGGCUUUUGGUCCUAUCAUAGGACAUAAUAGUGGUCUUUGACCCAUCCAUGGGACAUAAUAGUGGCCUUCAGCCCUACCACGGGACAAAAUAGUGGCGUUUAGUUCUGUCAUGGGAUAUAAAAGUUGUCUUCAUUUUGAGUGCAUCACCUUGGUGACAAAAUAGUAAUAUGUUCUGCUUGGUUAACUGCAAACAUGCACAACCCUACCAAGGGGGUAAACAUGGUCUUUACUUCUAUUUCUGAUGAUGUUUAAGUUAUGCAUGUGCUAAUGGUCUUUUAUAUAUUAUUAUUAUUGUAAUGGAAAGUUUUUGAAAAUACCACUACCAUAUUUUGAAAAUUAUAUGUUUCUGUAUUUUGUAACUAACUCAUGCUUACACACUAGUAUAGACUUGUUGCUUACUGAGUUGUUGGUAACUCACCCAAUUAUCUCCAUUAUCUUUUAGAUGAUUUGGAUGUUUCAGCUAAAGAUCAAGAAUAGAAAACAUGGGCGAGAUUAGUUGAGCGUAGUGGAAUAAGUGACAAAGGUUACAAAAGUCUAUAAGGGGAUUUUAUUCAAGAAAAUAGUCAUUUUUUAGUGUUAUUUUGGGAUGUUGGUGUUGUUAUUGAGACUUUGAGGUGUUUUAAGUUAAUUAUGUUUGAGUAGUUCAUUAAUGUUCUUGUAGAGGAACGUAUAUUUUGAAUUGAAUUGAUGACUUUUAUGGGAUAUUGAAGCUUUGGAGUUUAUACAUGUAUUAUUGAAUGUGAUUUUAAAUGAUAGGAAGUAACCCUUCGACCGUCUGGGUAUGCAUCGUUAUAGGGGAAUUAAAAAUAAAAAAGUGACAUUAGAUAAAAAAAAAAAAAAAAAAAAUUCUAUCCUCUCAUCCAUAUUCGAUUGCCCAGCCUUUGAUAUGCCUAUAACUGGAAGAGGUAGAGGUCGAUCAUGUGGCGUGAGCUACGGUCGAGGUAGAUCUCAAAGAAAUGAUGAAGUUCAAAAUAGAGAACCCAUUGCUGCCAUUUCUGCUCCAGAUGAUGCAUUCUCAAGCUCAGAUGACUCAACUGAGCCACCUGAUUGCGUCCCGAGCACAGAACCAAAUGACAUGCCAACAGUCGAUUAACUAAGUACAAACCCAUUUGUACCACCAAGCCAAAAGAGUAGGCGAGGAGCAGCAAAAAGCACAGAGUUUGAGAAGCUAUGAAUUAAAUCAUGGAAAGAUACCAUUGAGAAUAAAGGAUGGUGAGAUUGCACCUUGUUGUGAAAACGCUACCAUUUUUACUACAAGGGUCACAUGGUUGGUCAAGCACUAUAUGGACUUGAGUCAUGCUAGCUGGCACGCCGUUCCAACUAAUGAGAAGGAAGAAUUGAUUACAUGGGUUCAGGUGGACUUCAUCCUCGAUUGGAACAAGAAGAAUCACCGUGAUACGGUUACGAAGACACUUUACAAGUGGUUUAAUCAUAUUCGCUAUGAUUUACAUAGAACCUAUAAUAAGUAUGAGAGUAAGGAAGAAGCACUAGCGAAUGUGCCACCGUUGGUGACACCAGCCACUUGGCUGAAGUUAUGCACUCGAUAUUCAAGCAAGGACUUUAAGUAGAUGUCUGAACAAAAUAAAGGUAAUCGAGAGAAGCAAGAAAACAAUCACACGGCUGGACAAAGGUCAUUUGUACGGCUAAUGGAGAUGAGGUCUGCUACUAAGGAGAAUUUGGUCGAUUUCUUUAAAGAAGUGAGGUGGUCAAAGAAAAAGAACAAAUUUGUGACUCCUGUUGCUGAAGAGAAAUAUCUGGAGAUGGCUACAAAGAUGUUAGAGCUGGAGCCUGAGCAGCAGACUAAAGAGGCUGCAGCAACAAUUUUUAAAGAAGUUUUGGGCCACAGAUUAGGGUAUGUAAGGGGGCUCAGUGAGAUGGUUAUUCAGGAGUCAUCUAGACAAGCAGCUGAUGCCCAAAUAGCAGAAUUAACUGAACGUGUAGAAAGAUUUGAAAAGCUGCAAAUGAUUAUAAGAGUCAGCUUGAUGACUUACGAGCGAAUGUCAUGCUAGUAAUGGAGAGACAAGCUGAAUACGACAAGUUUAUGGAGAGAUAUGCAUCAGAGAGGCAGACUCAGGGAGAGUCUCAUAGAGAGACUCAGGGACUUGUAUAGUUAGUUAUUUUUUUUGGAGGGAAAACAAUUUUUUGUGAAUUUUGGUAAGUAGAUGAAGGUUAAAGUAAAGUCUUAAAACAAAAUGCCUCCUACUUAGAUAAGAUUUUGUUCAUCAGUUUAUUGGUGUGGGGUAGGUAGUGUAUUGUUAGGUGUUGUGGAUAUGUUGUAGUUUAUAUCAAUGUAUGUUUCUCUUGCCACCAACUGCUCACUUGGAAGUUAUUGGUCAUUUAAUGUCUAGUCAAACUGCUACAACAAGGUAAGUUAUCAGUACAUGGUUGAAUUGUACCUUUUCAUUUCUUCUUCUUCUUACUUUUUGCUUUUUAUCUAUCAUUCAGCAUUAUUCUAUUUUUUUCCAGGGUUGGGAAUUUUGGUAGGCACUCGUUAGUGUUCUUGUUAGAUGGUUUAUGGAGGAAAAUCCUAUGGGCAAAUGUGUGUUGGCCUUACCUUGAUAAUUGGAUCAUUACAGAUGUCAUCUUUCACGUUGAAGGAUCUCUAUUCUCAAGGAUUGAAUCAAGAUAUCAAGAAAUAUAGAGCAAAAUCAUUUCAGAAGUUGUCAAAGAUGGAAUCAAAUUAAAUACAUGUAGAAAGAAUUCCACUUGUACCUUUAUAUUCCAUUGUGAUAUGUUGGAUGGUAUUUUGGAAAAGAAUUAAAACAAUGGUAGUUGUGAAUUUCAAAUAUGUACUUUGAAGUUAUAUGAAUGAUGUUGGCAAGCAAAUAUAAAUUUCUUCAAAUCA